GACGUAGGGCGCGAGCGUUGUCCGGAAUUAUUGGGCGUAAAGGGCGCGUAGGCGGCCAUGCGUGUCUUCCGUGAAAUCCCUCGGCUUAACUGAGGACGUGCGGAAGAAACUGCAAGGCUUGAGUCCGGGAGAGGGGGGUGGAAUUCCCAGUGUAGCGGUGAAAUGCGUAGAUAUUGGGAGGAACACCGGUGGCGAAGGCGGCCCCCUGGACCGGUACUGACGCUGAGGCGCGAAAGCGUGGGUAGCAAACGGG
rnacentral:rRNA from 1 species